rnacentral:snoRNA from 1 species
UAAACUAAUGAUUAAAGUGCCAUGAAUUAAAGAUUAUGAUUAAUCCAAAUUUGUGAACAUGAGGUCCAUA